GUGUUCGCUUUGACAGCACAUAUACUAAAAUUGCAACAAUACAGAGAAGAUUAGGACGGCUCCCCAGGCAAGGAUGACACACAAAUUCGUGAAGCAUUCCAUAGUAAA